GGCGCUUUUCCUCCUCUUCCUCAUACCGUAGGAGGAGAAGAGGUCGUCGUCGUCGUCCUCGCAUGGAGUUCCCUCAUUCGGACUUCUUGGCUCUCUAGUUUGUCGUUGUUCGUUCGAUCAGCUUGAUAAUGUAUGUUUUGCUCCGAUGACCUCUGGAAAUGCAUGCUUG